rnacentral:lncRNA from 1 species
AUUAAAGCUUUCUGUGAGUCCUGUGUGGAAAAUCAUCUAUAAGGAGGCAAGAUUUUGAGCAGGGAGAUCUGUUCGGAAGUUAUUGUACCAGCGUACCAACAGAAGGUAGCAGACGGACCCAGGAGCAGCAGUGAAUGUGGAGCUUUCCUCACUGCUUCAGUCUGCAUUUCUUCUUGCUGCCGCCAUGAGAAGAAGGAUGUGUUUGCUUCCCCUUCUGCCACUAUUGAAAGUUUCCUGAGGCCUCCCCAACCAUGCUGAACUUAUGUAUUAGGGAACAUGAAGAAAAUCUGCAGUUAUCACUAACAGCUGAAGCUGAUGAUAGGCUUGAAUAAAAGAAAUGUAGGAAGCAGUGCAGUUUGCCUCAACAAUAUAAAAACAACCCAAGAAUAUAUCCUCAUAAAGCAUAGGCGUGGACUCUGUUAUUGACUGAGUUGUGUCCUCCCCGAACUUUAUGUUGAAGCCUAACUCCCAAUGUGACUCUACUUGGAGAUAUGCCCUUUAAAGAGGCAUUUUUGGUUAAAUGAGGUUGUACAGGUGAGGCCCUAAUCCAGCAUGACUGGUGUCCUGAUAAGAGGAACAGACACCAAGGGAUGUGCAUACACAGAGGAAAAGGACAUGUGAAGACAUGACAAGACAAGAGGCAUCUGCACGUCAAGGAGAGAGGCCCCCAGAGAAACCACACCUGCCAACACCCUCCUGAAAUUAAACUUCAAAACUGUGAGAAAUACAUUUCUGUUUCUUAAGCCACCCAGUAUUUAGUAUUUUGUUAUGGCAUCUCUAACCAGAACCCUGACUAAUGCAGACCCUAAUAAUGGGCAUCAACAAAUUAAGAUUUGUAUAUGGAUUAUAUGAUGAGUUUUUGUUCUGCCAUUAAUUACCAGAGUGAUUUAUGGGAAGGUAUUUAAUCUCUAUGGGUCAUAUUUUCCUGACCUUUGAUGAAGGAUGAAAAAAGAACUAAAAAAAUCUGUAAAAUAGACACAAGUUUAAAUGUAAUGGUAAUAAAGACAUUCCCAAUUAUGCCAACCAACU